rnacentral:lncRNA from 1 species
CCGCUAAAAAAUAAAUUUAAAAUUUUAGAAUUAUAGGUACAGAACUAAUCAAACGAAAUUAAAAUUUUCUUUGAGUCUUGAUUUUUAUCUAAGCAUCUUUGCCUCUUACAAGAAGGUAUCUAAGGUAAAAUGUUUAUAUAGCCUGAUCACAGGGCGGCACCAUAUUUGUGAUCACGCGUACCGCCUAAUUUACAAUUAGUAUGAUUGUCAGACGCAAAGAAAAUGAAGAGGCAAUGCUUUGACAUUAUAUUGGUAAAGUUAUG